rnacentral:rRNA from 1 species
AUGGUGUUCAUUGACUUAGAGAAGCCCUACGAUAAGAUACAGCGGAAUGUCAUGUGGUGGGCCUUGGAGAAACACAAAGUCCCAGCAAAGUACAUUACCCUCAUCAAGGACAUGUAUGAUAAUGUUGUGACAAGUGUUCGAACAAGUGAUGGCGACACUGAUGACUUCCCGAUUAAAAUAGGACUGCACCAGGGGUCAGCUUUGAGCCCUUAUCUUUUUGCUCUGGUGAUGGAUGAGGUCACAAGUGAUAUACAAGGAGAUAUCCCAUGGUGUAUGCUCUUUGCGGAUGAUGUGGUGCUAGUUGAUGAUAGUCGGACGGGGGUCAAUAGGAAGUUAGAGCUAUGGAGACAAAUCUUGGAAUCCAAAGGUUUUAGGCUUAGUAGAACUAAAACCGAGUGCAUGAGGUGCGGUUUCAGUACUACUAGGCACGAGGAGGAGGUUAGCCUUGAUGGGAAGGUGGUGCCUCAAAAAGACACCUUUAGAUAUUUAGGGUCUAUGCUGCAGAAGGAUGGGGAUAUCGAUGAAGACGUGAAUCAUCGAAUCAAAGCAGGAUGGAUGAAGUGGCGCCAAGCUUCUGGCAUUCUUUGUGACGAGAGAGUGCCACGAAAACUAAAAGGCAAGUUCUAUAGGACAGCGGUUCGACCCGCAAUGUUGUAUGGCGUUGAGUGUUGGCCGACUAAAAGGCGACAUGUUCAACAGUUGGGUGUGGCGGAGAUGCGCAUGUUGAGAUGGAUGUGUGGCUACACAAGGAAGGACCGAGUCCGAAAUGAUGAUAUACGAGAUAAAGUUGGGGUAGCGCCAAUUGAAGAGAAGCUUGUCCAUCAUCGUUUGAGAUGGUUUGGGCAUAUUCGGCGCAGGCCUCCAGAAGCACCAGUGCAUAGCGGACGGCUAAAGCGUGCCGAUAAUGUCAAGAGAGGUCGGGGUAGACCGAACUUUACAUGGGAGGAGUCCGUAAAGAGGGAUAUGAAGGAUUGGAGUAUCGACAGAGAACUAGCCAUGGACAGGGGUGCGUGGAAGCUUGAUAUCCAUGUGCCAGAACCAUGA